UACGUAGGGGGCAAGCGUUGUUCGGAAUUACUGGGCGUAAAGGGCGCGUAGGCGGUUUGCUAAGUUGAAUGUGAAAACUCUGGGCUUAACCCAGAGCCUGCAUUCAAUACUGGCAGGCUAGAGUUCUGGAGGGGAUAGCGGAAUUCCUGGUGUAGCGGUGAAAUGCGUAGAUAUCAGGAGGAACACCGGUGGCGAAGGCGGCUAUCUGGACAGAGUCUGACGCUGAGGCGCGAAAGCUAGGGGAGCAAACAGG
rnacentral:rRNA from 1 species